GAGAAGCUUGCUUCUUUGCUGACGAGCGGCGGACGGGUGAGUAAUGCUUGGGAACAUGCCUUGAGGUGGGGGACAACAGUUGGAAACGACUGCUAAUACCGCAUAAUGUCUACGGACCAAAGGGGGCUUCGGCUCUCGCCUUUAUAUUGGCCCAAGUGGGAUUAGCUAGUUGGUGAGGUAAUGGCUCACCAAGGCGACGAUCCCUAGCUGGUUUGAGAGGAUGAUCAGCCACACUGGGACUGAGACACGGCCCAAACUCCUACGGGAGGCAGCAGUGGGGAAUAUUGCACAAUGGGCGCAAGCCUGAUGCAGCCAUGCCGCGUGUGUGAAGAAGGCCUUCGGGUUGUAAAGCACUUUCAGUCAGGAGGAAAGGUUGGCGGUUAAUACCCGUUAGCUGUGACGUUACUGACAGAAGAAGCACCGGCUAACUCCGUGCCAGCAGCCGCGGUAAUACGGAGGGUGCGAGCGUUAAUCGGAAUUACUGGGCGUAAAGCGUACGCAGGCGGUUUGUUAAGCGAGAUGUGAAAGCCCCGGGCUCAACCUGGGAACUGCAUUUCGAACUGGCAAACUAGAGUGUGAUAGAGGGUGGUAGAAUUUCAGGUGUAGCGGUGAAAUGCGUAUAGAUCUGAAGGAAUACCGAUGGCGAAGGCAGCCACCUGGGUCAACACUGACGCUCAUGUACGAAAGCGUGGGG
rnacentral:rRNA from 1 species